rnacentral:rRNA from 1 species
UACGUAGGGGGCGAGCGUUGUCCGGAUUGACUGGGCGUAAAGCGCACGCAGGCGGAUGCGCGCGUGGGGUGUGAAAUCUGGCCGCUUAACGGCCAGGCGCCAUCCCAUACGGCGCGUCUGGAGUGAUGCAGAGGUCGGUGGAAUUGCCGGUGUAGUGGUGAAAUGCGUAGAGAUCGGCAGGAACACCCAGGGGGAAACCAGCCGACUGGGCAUCUACUGACGCUGAGGUGCGAGAGCGUGGGGAGCGAACCGG